UUCCCUGUAGGCCUAGUGGUUAAGGUUCCAGCAUUGUCACUGCUGUGGCUCAGGUUCAAUCCCUGGCUGAGAAC
rnacentral:tRNA from 1 species